rnacentral:rRNA from 1 species
AAAUUGAAGAGUUUGAUCAUGGCUCAGAUUGAACGCUGGCGGCAGGCCUAACACAUGCAAGUCGAACGGUAACAGGAAGCAGCUUGCUGCUUCGCUGACGAGUGGCGGACGGGUGAGUAAUGUCUGGGAAACUGCCUGAUGGAGGGGGAUAACUACUGGAAACGGUAGCUAAUACCGCAUAACGUCGCAAGACCAAAGGGGGGGGACCUUCGGGCCUCUUGCCAUCGGAUGUGCCCAGAUGGGAUUAGCUUGUUGGUGGGGUAACGGCUCACC